ensembl:lncRNA
AUGAUCCUCCCAAGAAGGGAACCGUUUCAUUUCCUGGUCUCUGUAUCCCUCCACACCCAAAGAGCCCCUUGCACAUCUUGCAUCUAAAAGAACUCUGAAAACACUAGUUGAAUGAACUGAAUUGGCUGCUCUCUCUUCCAGGUCAUCUCCUGCCAAGUCUAUACUUGAUGGAGCCCGGCCAACCACGAGGAGGGAAUGAGAGAGAGACUGUAAAGGAAACAGAAGUUGGGGAGAGCACUGCAGACAGCAAGGCCAGAGGGUCAAAUGAAUAGAAUGGAGUGAAGGGCAAUGAAUGUCAGAAGACAGCAAGGACGGGAUUAAGAUGCCAAAGAGAUGACGGACAGGAAUUUUUUCCACAGCCUGCUCCAAUCUGGCCGUGGAGACGUGAGGGGGGACGGCUGGGAGACAGCUCUAUGUGGUCCAAUACGGGAGGAAUUUUCAACAGAAGGAAGAGAAAAGCUGCUGUGGCUCACCUGGUUGGUGGUGGAAUGGCCCAGGAGGCUCCUAAAUAGAAAGCAUUCCUUUGCCUUUUCAAUUUCUUGACUCUUUCCCUGUAACUUUUUGUAAUGGGUCAAAGGCACUCAGAGGACCUGGACUCUAUCUUGGUGGUUAGAGCCCCAUUAAAUUCUACCCAACACCUUCCCCAGUCCCCUCCCUCUUCUCUGCCUACCUUCCCCAAAACUGUUUUUUACCCCUGAGUUCCUUGGCUGCUGCAUGAGUGGGGAGCCUUCUCUUUGGGUUCUCUGGGCCUUCAAUAGAGAUCAGUUUGGAUCUGACUUCAGAAGGUCCCCAGGCUCCUCGAGGGCGCUCUGCCCUGCCCUCCCCCUACAGGAACUUCUUAUAAGUGUGUUCUUAGUUUGAGGCAUCUCUUCCCCAAGUCAGCUUCUCUGCGGCUCUUCAUGUCCUUUCUUGAUCUCCAAACUUUUUUCGUGACCACUCCCUGAAGACCUUCCCUGAGUCAACUCCUUUUCACAACUGACCUUACCAAUAUUUCUUGUUUGGACAUAUGACUCAUUGUAUCUCUUCCUUUUCGGUCUUGCCUCUUCUCCAAGACUUUCAUUUUCUAUUUUUACUCUAGCUCUUAUAGUGAUUAUCAGAGAUUAAAAUAUAGUGUCUCACCGAGGUGUCACCAAGGAAAAAGAGAUCAAGCAGACCUAAACAGCCCUGCCCAACAUAGUUACUGCAAUGGAGAAGAGGUUUCUGCCCCAUCCCAAGAGUCUGGGGAACCUUAUCCCUGUGGGUUAGGAUGGUUAAUAGACCUCAGGGAUGUUUUUAGAGUGGAGCCAAAGUUCACCUUCAGGAUAUUUAUAGAGGCCACUGGAAAUCUCCAGUGCUGAUACAUGCAAAGCAUUUGCAUGCAGUACUCGCCUGCUUUUGCUAAAUCCUCUGCAUUUGUAGGAGUAACUCCCUUGCUGAGGGUUAACUGCUCAGGAGGCUUUUGAUCUGCCUGUGAGAAAGCAACCCUAGUCGAUCCAGCAGGCAGCCCAGUCAGCUAGCCAUCUCCUUUUCUUCUCUGCUUCUAGAUGACAUCCAAACAGCCCUGUUCUGAUGACUGCCAGAAAGUAACUAUUCUAAAAUUAAAAAGAAAGUCUUUGCAAAAAAAAAAAUUUUUUUUUUUUUUUUUUUUAAUAAAACUUAGGUCCUCUAACUUAGCCUUUCCCUC